GAUGAAGAACGCAGCGAAAUGCGAUACUUGGUGUGAAUUGCAGAAUCCCGUGAACCAUCGAGUCUUUGAACGCAAGUUGCGCCCGAAGCCACUAGGCCGAGGGCACGCCUGCCUGGGCGUCACACGCCGUUGCCCCCCCAUCUACUCCUUCGGGGUUGCGGGGGGGCGGAUGAUGGCCUCCUGUGCGCCUAGCCGCGCGGUUGGCAUAAAUACCAAGUCCUCGGCGACGCACGCCACGACAAUCGGUGGUUGCGAAACCUCGGUUGCCCGUCGUGUGCGUUCGUCGCGCAUCGAGGGCUCGAAAAAAAUGCUCGGCUCCGGCUGGGCUUUCAACGCGACCCCAGGUCAGGCGGGGUUACCCGCUGAAUUUAAGCAUAUCAAUAAGCGGAGGA
rnacentral:misc_RNA from 1 species